rnacentral:rRNA from 1 species
GAUGAACGCUGGCGGCGUGCUUAACACAUGCAAGUCGAACGGUGAAGGCGGAGCUUGCUCUGCUGGAUCAGUGGCGAACGGGUGAGUAACACGUGAGCAAUCUGCCCCUGACUCUGGGAUAAGCGCUGGAAACGGCGUCUAAUACUGGAUACGAGCUGCGAAGGCAUCUUCAGCAGCUGGAAAGAACUUCGGUCAGGGAUGAGCUCGCGGCCUAUCAGCUUGUUGGUGAGGUAACGGCUCACCAAGGCGUCGACGGGUAGCCGGCCUGAGAGGGUGACCGGCCACACUGGGACUGAGACACGGCCCAGACUCCUACGGGAGGCAGCAGUGGGGAAUAUUGCACAAUGGGCGGAAGCCUGAUGCAGCAACGCCGCGUGAGGGACGACGGCCUUCGGGUUGUAAACCUCUUUUGGCAGGGAAGAAGCGAAAGUGACGGUAACUGCAGAAAAAGCGCCGGCUAACUACGUG